UCACAGGACACUGAAUUUAAAAAAAAAGUUUAAAAAUGAGGGAGGGUGAAAAAGUCGAAAUGAGCAGACCCUGCUCAGUUGUCGGCUAUGGGUGAGUGGUGGAAUAUUGCGUUUGGGAACGGGUUGCGUUGGG